UCCUCUACGCUCUUAGCAGAGUUGUGGUUUUCCACUGGUCUGUGUGGCCUUCUGAAUAUCUGUCUCCCUCCCCAGGCUCUGCGACAUUGCUCUUUGGUGUGGUUGGCACCUCGAACAUCAUCUUGCUCGAGUAGAUCCUCAAGAACUACUCACCGAAUGAGAGCAUCUUCGUGAAGUGUGGAUUAUCAGACAAAUGCAUGAUGGAAUCAAUGCAAAGGUAAAGCAGGUCCCCAAUGACUGAGGAGAGCCGUCAGGUCAGAUCAUGUGAACUUCAUGGAGGCCAAAGGUCUCGCAAGGCCCCAGUGCCUUGAACACCCUCCACACACCCUAUCAUUUGGCCCUUGCCUUUUGCUACCUUGGACCACUUGGAACUUGCGGUAACAACCAGCAGUGGCUUUCCACAGCUGUCCCCCGUCCUCCUGAAUGGCACUGAACUGAGUAUACCAGUGAGAGAUUGAGUUCAGUGCACAUUUUAGAAACAAGGCAAUUGGUUACAGUUUUUGGACCCAGAGACACAUAGAAGGCUAAGUGAGCACAUCUACCGAGGAAAGUAGGGUCAAGAGUUACCAUGGCAAGAACAUAAACUGGGAAUCUGGAAACAUGGUCACUAGUCAUGGGACUUGGGCAAGUUAUUUAAUAAGAAUAAGAGAACAACAACCACAAGAGUUGCUGGAAAUGGGCACUUACUGUGUGCCUGGCAUUGCAUUUGGCAUGUGUUACCCAGCUUCGCUCUUAACAGCAGCCCCGUGAGAUAGACACUAUGAAUGUCUCCAUUUUGCAGAGAAACAAGAAACGAAAAGCAAGAACAAAGCUUAGAGAAGCCAAGAGACACUCCACGGCCCUGUAGCUGGUGAGUGGCAGAGUCAGGUUUUCAAUCUGUCCACCUCUUAUUUCCUGACCACUACAGUGUCCCUCUGGGGACCUCUGUUUCUUCCUCUGAAAAGGGACGGGUAGCACUAAUGACUUAGGAGAUUCAAGCCCCGGUGACUUUGAAUAGGGAGAUCUCUUAGAAGUUGGGCCAUUUGUAUCAAGUUAGUUAGGCACCAAGGAUCAUGGAUCUUCAAAGUAAAAUAAGCCCACCUCUGAAACAUUAAAAACGAGACAGGAGUGGGGCACCUGGGUGGAUCAGUCAGUUCAGCAACCGACUCCGGCUCAGGUCAUGAUCUCCCGGUUCGUGGGUUCGAGCCCCACGUCAGACUCUGUGCUGACAGCUCAGAGCCUGGAGCCUGCUUCGGAUUCUGUGUCUUCCUCUCUCUCUGCCCCUUCCCCGCUCAUGCUCUGUCUCUGUCUCUCUAAAAUAAAGAAACAAAAACACAGACAGGAGAAAGUUCCAGUGUUGGCCACUACAACAAGAGUAGCAGUUAAAAAUCAAAACCACAAUGAGAUCCUGCCUUACGUGCAGCAGGAUGGCUGCUAUAAAGCAAAAACAAACAAUGACAACAACCAGAAAUAACAAGUGUGGACAAAGAUGUGGAGAAAUUGGAACUCUUGUACACUAUUGGUGGGAAUGUAAAAUAGCACAGCUUCUAUGAAACACAGUAUGACAAUUUCUCAAAAAAUUCAACAUAGAACUACCACAUGAUCUGGCAGUUACACUUCUGGGUAUGUAUCGGACGGAACUGAUGAAGAGAUAUUAGCACUCACUAUUCCGAAUAGCCGAGGUGUGGAAACAACCUAAACGUCCAUCAGUAGAGCAGCAUGGAACAAUUGCUUCUACUUUAAUUUCCGGUGCUUACGAAGGCUGAGCUGAAGGCUGCACCACCAGAAGCUUGGAACCAGUGGAGAAUUUCAGCCUCUGUGAAUAUCGGACUUAGCCUAGUAGCUGUGCGCGUGGAGCUGGGACAACUGGCAAAACCCGACAAAGAUGGAGAGGUGAGAUGGUCGCACUCGGUGAACCAGGCCAGUCACGGAGGACAAGCAAGAUACAGAAAUGGAGACGCAAAGAGUUUGUUGCCCUGAUCACGUAGCUAUAGGCUGAAGACGAGGCUUUGAACUCAGGUGUUCCGAAUCCAAAUCUGGCAGUGUUUAACCUAAGUCUUCUGGGUCCUGUGAAGAAUAAGAGAAGAAUAAAAAGGACAGCGUCCUCCCUGUUAGCAACUUCCCACCUCAGUGGGUGCCUCCUGUGCGAUGGGAACUUUCUAUCUGGAGACAUUUGAGACAGACCGCAGUAUGUGACUGUACGCAAUUCACAUCCAGAGAGAGAGGCUCAGACUGCAGAUGCCAGCAGACAUCGGGUUGAGCGUGGGCUGGAGGAAGGCGCCAUUGAUCGUGUGCUGCUUAAACCGAGCCCUGAUGUUUGGAAUGAUCUGGAAGGAAUUGGAGGGGUGGACACUCCUGAUUCUGACAAUGGGACGAGCACGCUCUGCCCAGAUUCCUUGUUCCUGCACCGUGGGGACUUGCCUUCUUAUUUCCUCGCCUUUCUCCCCGCCAUGGCAGUCCCCUACCCCCAAGUCUUUUUGGCUUCAGACCUUUCCUCCCUGCUUCCCUCUCACUGGAAGUAACCAGCCCUGCCACUCGUGCUCACUGCACAGAUGUUUCCCUCGGUGCUCCCAGGAGACCCAGAUGUCCUAGUGCAGUGGAAACAACGUGUCCACAGACUUGGAGUUCACGCUGACCUGGGUCUGGAUCCUGCUCUGCUUGAGACGCGCGGCUGCGGGCGAGCUGAUCGGCAGGUUGGGCCUCUACAUCAUCUCCUGUACCUCAGGGCUAUUUUCUGGAUGAAAUGAGAUAAUGCAUGGGUAAAAGGUCUGGUGCAGGUAGAGAUACCCCCAAAAUACUGGUUCCAGCUUUGCCCCAGUUUAUUUCAGCCAAGCCUGAUGGCAAAGAGGACCAGCCAGGGGGAUGGAAGAGUGAAAGCACUCACACUGGGGAAUCUGAUCACACUGGCCUUGGUCCUGGUUCCUGAUUCCAGGAGAGUGACUUAUCUGGAGUCUUCCCGGGAGCUGUGCUCAGGACGAAACCGGACAAUGUACGCGAAGUGGUGCACCCAGAGGUUGACAUGUAGAAAGUGCUAUAGCAUCACCAUCGUGGCUGAGCCCAGGCCACAGAAACUGAACCCCGUGGUGGCUUCGGGCAGAACAUUUGUACCAGCCUUAGAAAGGUGAUGAAAUACGUUGGAAAUGAUGGAUCGUCUCUACAAAGCCUUUACACAGAUACGCGCUCCAUUUCUAGUAGGGGUUCCUGAGGGCUGGGAUCAUUUGGAAAUAAAUAGGGCCUGGGAGCGCCAGCAUGACCAAUGUUCUUGAGUUGCCCUUGGGAGCUCACACACAACAUCCCAUCCUCAGGAUUCACACGAUGCCGAGAACUCAUCAUGUGUCAAGAACAGAGUAACCAAACCCGGGGCAGUUGGCAUUCUGGGGCACUUUGUCUGGUAACCUAACAGACAAAGCCAGCAUAUGGACAACAACCUGCCAGCCUGCUUCAGGCAGGGCAGAGCCCAGGGACAGGGGGCUCUCCUCACCUGCUUGUUAGAAUGACAGCAGCAGAAAUAGAUCAAAGGUGAGUGCACCGAAUAUCUUCCUGUUUUCAGGUGCACAGCAGGAUUGAAUGGUUGCCUCAUCCCAGGAGCCCGCAGAGGGUGAACAGGCAGAACUGAAAAGGGAAGGAGACUCAGCUGAGAUGAGGCCAACCCCAGCGCAUUUUAAAUCAGGGCCCUGAGUGCCCUGGGCCUUCCCUGGGACUCGGCCUUAGGGCCUGCUUUUAUUAUCUUUACACCGCUCGGGUCCACGCAGGUUUGGUGGGCAUGAGACAUGGAACAGAGGGACCCAAGUGAAUCAGCCUUCAGGAAUAGAACUGCUUGCAGGAAAAGUGCUCUUGCUGCGACGUAUUUUCAUGCUUCUAGACCUGCUUAAAAUACGUGGUGUUAACAGAGACCGCCCUUACUAUGAGAAGGUGGGCUGUGCAGCUGAGACCAGGCAGGAAUACGCUGAGGACACCAGUAAGAACAAAAGCAGCUCAAACACAUUGAGUGCUUACUAUGUGCCAGGCACUUCUGAGCAUUUGACGUAUGUUAAUGCAGGCAGUCCUGGUUUUUAAUCUUGAUUUCCCUUACGAAUUUGCUCUGUGUCCUUGAGAACUUACCCACCUUCUUUAAACAAAGAGAGAAUCACAUGCAUUUCAUAGGUUUGGGGAGAGAAUUAAAUGUAGAUAAUGUGGGGGCGCCUGGGUGGCUCAGUCGGUUAAGCGUCUGACUUCGGCUCAGGUCGUGAUCUCGCAGUCCGUGAGUUCGAGCCCUGCGUCGGGCUCUGUGCUGACAGCUCAGAGCCUGGAGCCUUCUUCAGAUUCUGUGUCUCCCUCUCUCUGACCCUCCGCCAUUCAUGCUCUGUCUCUGUCUGUCUCAAAAAUAAGUAAAGGUUAAAAAAAAAAAUUAAAAAUAAAUAAAUAAAUGUAGAUAAUGUAGGUAAAGAGUGAGGAGGUGUUCCAUGAUGGUGACCAAUGUUAUUUUUAUUAAUAAUGUGAACUCUCCUGUUUAUUUUCUUCUUUUGUACCUGUUUCCCAAGGCCUUGCCUGCUCAGGACCCAUCCUUCUGAAAGUGGGAAUACAGAGAUCCACCUUCUCUCUCUGUGAACUCUUACUUAACCCUCAAGACCCAUUUCAAAAGUUCCCUGCACUGUGAAAGCUUUGCCAGUUUCCACAGUGCAAGACAAAUUGCUCUCUUUGCCAUGCCUCCAUCCUGGCCCUCACCAUAUCGUAUGGUAAUUGUGUCUGUUUAUGCUCUAUCUUCUUGACAGCUUGGAAGUUUCUGGAGGUGCAGUAACAACUGCACUCUCCUAGCUUAGCAGUUCUCCAGGUGCAGUCUGGAGACACCUGGGAGCCCACGAAACUCUUUCGGGGGGUCCUUGAGGUCAAACUAUUUCCAUAACUCUAGGACGUCAUUUGCAUUUUUCAUUCUGUUAACAUUGGUAGCGGAGGUGGGUAAAACUGCUGACGUUGGUCUGAAUCAAGGAUGUGGCAUAUCAAAAUGUACAAGGAAUGGUCGUAUCUGUGACCGUCACCCAGUUGCAUUAAAACACAUGAAACUGGCACGUGUGUAAGGACACCAAGGAUGUCCCUAAUGAGGCAAUGAAAUGGUUAACUUUAUGAAACCUCAACCCUUGCCUUUUUUGUUGUUGUCUAUUUAUUUAUUUUGAGAGAGAGAAUGUGAGCAGGGGAGGGGUGCGGGGGGAGAGAGAGAAUCCCAAGCAGGCUCUCUGCUGUCAGGACAGAACCUGACACGGGGCUCGAUCCCACAAAGCUGUGAUAUCAUGACCUGAGCCGAAAUCAGGGGUUGGACACUUAACUGACUGAGCCGCCCAGGCGCCCCAUCGACCCUUGUCUUUUUAAUGAUCUGUAUAAAGAAAAGUGGGAAGGAUGGAUAAAGCAUUUUGGCUGCAUGCAAAAGCACCAUCGUUGCAGGUAGUGUGGAGGAAAAGCUCACAUGUGGUUGAAUUGUGAGCUGAAUCACUCAUUGCUUUUUCACGACACAUGCUUUUUACUUGAAAGAACAACCGACGAGUGCCAUGCUUUUUCAGAUUUGGGCAUUUUGCAGAUGUUCUCUCAGAAAUGAAUUAAGCAAGCCUGUCAUUUUAGGGAAAGCAACUGGCAGUAUUUGUUACCAGCGAUAAAGUUCGAGCUAAGUGAAAAGCAGAAGUUUGGAAAACUUUAUCUGCCAUUCUGAACUUGACGCCUUCUCAUCAAAUGUCCUGGAGGAGAACUGCGGCGAUACUGGUGACUCUGAAUUCGUGAUACUGUACAAUGAAACGUGUCAAUGUUUGGAAAACCUGCAGGAGUCUGUGAAGCAGUUGUUUCCCAAUGAACAAUCAAGAUGUUAGGAAAUCUUGCCUGGGUUAGAGAUCCCUUCAAAGUGGGAGACAGACCAGUGGAUUUUAAUGGGGCAGAGGAGAACAGUUCGGCAGCACAGUUUCGGAUUUGACGUUGCAGCCACGCUUAACCAAAACUUGUCGAGUGUGACCGUAGUACCAAAGAACACCCAUCAUUAUCCGAAAAGGCUAUUAAACCGCUUCUCCCUUUUCCAACCAUGUAUCUGUGUGAGGCCAGAUUUUCUCUAUACCUUUUAACCAGAACAAGCUAUUGCCCCAGACCGAAAGCAGAAGCUGAUCUGAGAAUGCAGCUGUCUUCCAUUAAGCUGGACAUUAAAGGGAUUUGAAGAAAUGUAAAACAAUGUCCCUCUUCUCACCAAUCAUUUUCGUUCUGUAAGGCACUGCUGUGGCAGGAAAAAUGAAACCCCCUUUUCAACACUGCCCUUUCAUAGUCGCCAAGGAGAGCCUUCGCGAGCUGGUGAUAAUUUCAACUUCAUUCUGGAAAUGUAAUCCAGUCCCAUCCAUCCUCCUAAGUGACGAGCCAUGGUCAACACCCCGUUUUUCCCAUCUACGGCUGGAGGAUAAUGAUGCCAGUUCUCAUUGUGCUUCUAGACCUUGGGACCCGAGGGACCAGCCUUUUUUUUUUUUUUUUUUCCUGCCAGAGAUAGGGAAAGGACGGGCCAGUGUUUCGAACAAACACUUACCCUUCUUCCAGUUGAAUAGACGCGGGGAAGGCUGUGGAAGAGGGAGAGGGGCAGCCUCGAAGGCCCGGCAACCAGGCCAAGAGGAGCAUUCAAUCAGAGACCUGACAUUUGCCUAUUGCCCUCUUAUCAGACUCGCUAAGUCACUGGGGCCUUUGUGCCGCGGAAUUGGGAAGGAAGGAAUGGCCCGGCCCAGCCAAUCCCGUGUCCGGCCCUCUGCCCAGGCGCCUGCCAUUAGCAUUUCCCUGACAUCUGACUGAUAUCUUCAUUUCACUUCGGUAAACAGGCCACCUCAAGGCCAAGGUGACGGUGACCUCUGGCGCUGCAAGCAGCACGGGAUUCUCCCCGGAGGCCCUGGUAGAGCACUUUCGCAUGGGCCAGGGCUCUUAUUUCCCACCCCGCCACCACUCCGGCCUUGCACGUGGCUGUGCUUUUGCACAGGCAAGUUCCUCUACCCGGAACACUAAUCGCCUAGACGACUUGCUUAGCAGACUCCUAUUGAUAUUCCAAGGCCCAGCUCAAAUAUCACCUCCUCUGUGAAGCCUUCCCUGACUCCCCAAGUAAUGCAGCAUCGGCAGAGUGUUCUUGGCAUCACCACACUCUUGGCAAGUGCUUCGCGUUUCAUCUAGAACUCAGAGACCGUUCUAGUUACACAGAAGGCUGAGAACAAGACGGCCUCCAGCCCAGAGAGGUCUGGGCUGACUGCCGGGGGCUGACUUCCCCAGGACUCAUCCCCAGCCCCUCCAACUGCACCCCUUCUGGAAGAUUGCCUCACUCCAGCCUCAACACCCCCCUUGCCUUGGAAGAUGCUCUUCCUUCCCCCUGGAAUAUUCCUCAUCACUGUUCUAUGCCCUAGAUCACCUGGGCUGGGAUCCAGGUGCCUCGGCCUGAGCUAAGUCCCUGCUCUGUGCCCCCAGGGCACCGUGGAUUUGCCCAACCAUGCAUGACAUCCAGGACACUGGAAUGCCCUGCUCUCUGUCUGGCUGCCUCCCGGCCGGUACCCUCCAGGAGGGCAGGGACAGGGACCACGAAACCCUCAGUGGAUGUUUGCAGAGUGGACACAUGGAGAUUGGCUGGCUCCUCUCAUUUUCUGCCCCUACCUCCCUCAGAGGCAAUACCUUCAGAUGGCAAUAUAUUCAUUUCAUCUGGACCCACUUCUGACAGCCAUUUUGUUCAGUAAGAGAUGCUGGAAUGAUGUGCCUGUUGAUUUUUUUUUGGGGGGGGGGUUGGGUUUGCUUUAGAAACCAA